rnacentral:rRNA from 1 species
GUGAGGUAAUGGCUCACCAAGGCGACGACGGGUAGCCGGCCUGAGAGGGUGACCGGCCACACUGGGACUGAGACACGGCCCAGACUCCUACGGGAGGCAGCGGUGGGGAAUAUUGCACAAUGGGCGCAAGCCUGAUGCAGCGACGCCGCGUGAGGGAUGACGGCCUUCGGGUUGUAAACCUCUUUCAGCAGGGAAGAAGCGAAAGUGACGGUACCUGCAGAAGAAGCGCCGGCUAACUACGUGCCAGCAGCCGCGGUAAUACGUAGGGCGCGAGCGUUGUCCGGAAUUAUUGGGCGUAGAGAGCUUGUAGGCGGUUUGUUGCGUCUGCUGUGAAAGACCGGGGCUUAACCCCGGUAUUGCAGUGGGUACGGGCAGACUAGAGUGCAGUAGGGGAGACUGGAAUUCCUGGUGUAGCGGUGAAAUGCGCAGAUAUCAGGAGGAACACCGACGGCGAAGGCAGGUCUCUGGGCUGUAACUGACGCUGAGAAGCGAAAGCAUGGGGAGCGAACAGGAUUAGAUACCCUGGUAGUCCAUGCCGUAAACGUUGGGCACUAGGUGUGGGGGACAUUCCACGUUUUCCGCGCCGUAGCUAACGCAUUAAGUG